GACCCCUGAAGGGACGUUGAAGACUACGACGUUGAUAGGCCGGGUGUGUAAGCGCAGCGAUGCGUUGAGCUAACCGGUACUAAUGACCCGUGAGGCUUAACCUUACAACGCCAGAAGCGUUCUG
rnacentral:rRNA from 1 species